GCGGUCGAUCAUCGCUCGACCUGCCGGCAACGCCUA
rnacentral:sRNA from 1 species